GAGGAAUAGAAACUAACAAGGAUUCCCCUAGUAACUGCGAGUGAAGCGGGAAAAGCUCAAAUUUAAAAUCUGGCGGCUUUGGUCGUCCGAGUUGUAUCCUAGAGAAGUGUUUUCCGCGUUGGACCGUGUAUAAGUCUCUUGGAACAGAGCGUCAUAGAGGGUGAGAAUCCCGUCUUUGACACGGACUACCAAUGCUUUGUGAUACACUCUCAAAGAGUCGAGUUGUUUGGGAAUGCAGCUCAAAAUGGGUGGUAAAUUCCAUCUAAAGCUAAAUAUUGGCGAGAGACCGAUAGCGAACAAGUACCGUGAGGGAAAGAUGAAAAGCACUUUGGAAAGAGAGUUAAACAGUACGUGAAAUUGCUGAAAGGGAAACGAUUGAAGUCAGUCGCGUUAGCUAGAACUCAACCAGGCUUGCUUGGCGUAUUUUCUAGUUAACGGGCCAGCAUCAGUUUUGACCGCAGGAAAAAGGCCAGAGAAAUGUGGCACCUUCGGGUGUGUUAUAGUCUUUGGUCAUAUACUGCGAUUGGGACUGAGGUUCGCAGCACGCGCAAGCGGUGCUUAGGAUGCUGGCGUAAUGGCUUUAAACGACCC
rnacentral:rRNA from 1 species